UAUACGUUGUUGAAAUAGUUUUCGGACAGAUACACCAGAUUCGUCCACGAAAUGGUUAACAGAGAUAUACUUACAUUAUACCUGUUUAUUUUAGUACUUUAUCGAAAUGCAUUCGGAGUGACAUCAGCACCACUAGGAAAUAGCGGCAUGAAAGUUCUGGCAAUCCAUAGUUUACAGAAAGUUUCAAAGAGAAACCCUAAGAUAUAUCAGCAAAUAGUAGACCAAUUGCAAUGUCCACAGAAUGUUAACAUUAUGGAUUGCUACACCACUUUAAUGUCACCAUGGAUACGUUAUAUGCUAUCUCACAGAAGACAUUUAUAAGAUCAAGACAUGAUAGUGAGGAUAUUUAUGCUUGAUAGAUGGAAUUUAGAAUGUGUAUGCUUUUCCAAAAAUGUGGAUAUUUUUACUGUACUACUUUUGAAGAGAUUGACUUUGUUAACAACGGUUUGGACGAUAUACACUUUUAUUAAACGUAUACAUUUUUAAAACGUACACAGCUCUUUAAAUAAUUAUGAAUACCUGCAUGCAGUAUCACAUUCCUAUAAUAAACCAUUUCCUGGAA